UAUAACAAUAUGUCACAGAGCUCAAAACUCUUCUUUGUUCUCACUGUUAUUGCCUUUAACACACAAAACAAACCACCUUGAGCGAAAUUUCUGGGAUUUAAAUGUCAAGCAAGGGAUAAAGAUGAAAGUGGAUAAUAAUUGGAACAAGAAACUCGGAUUAGCUGGAGAUCAGCUACACCGAAAUAGAAGGGAGGCUGUAUUUCAGCAGAAAACGAAGGGGGUUUGGAGGGUACCAAAUGACAGAGGAAGGAAGUUGAAUUGCAUGCGAGAAGAGGUGACAGUCUGGGCAGCAAAAUUCAGCAACACAACCAGAACGAACUCAGAGCAGCAGUGCAGCGGCGGUGAAGCGAAGUAGCCAGAGUCAAGGUGACUUAGUUGUGUUCCGUAAUUUUUCAUUUGCUACGGGAAUUGCUGGGCAGCGAAAUUUAUAAUAGAACCCGAAGAAAAGCUGCAGCGUUUUGGAGCUCCAAUUGCUACAAAAUCAGCAAAUUUAGUGAGAUUGAAAACAGUACUUUGGAGCGACAUUUUCGAGGAUAGCCGGGUGGUGUUCUGGUAGUAGCAACGAAACUUGGUUGUGAGUACCGUUCAUGGUUCUUUCAUCCAUCAAUUUGAGGCUUUUGGGUGCCAUGGCGUAGUUGCUGCCAUGUGACAUUCUGGUAGAAUGUUAAGACAUUUGCUCGAGACCGAGACUAUAGCUGAGGUGUUACUCAUGCUAAUAUUUCGUAUAUUAAAGUGUUAGAAUACAAAUUUUGUAUAAAUUCUUUCUUGUAUGGUGAGUUUGAUUAAGAUCAAUGCAUAACCCCAGACUUUUGUUUUUUGUUUUAAAUUUUUAUAGAUUCAUAUGUGAAUUGAAGCACAUGUUUAUAAGCUUGAAGACUACACAUUUCGCUCAAGUGAGAAGUUAGAAACAAUACAUCCAUUGUACUUGCUAUAUUAAUGUUUACAUCUCAUGGCGGACGAUCAGGACCGUAUUUGUGUCGAGGAUGUAGAGGAUGAUGAUGAUUUUACUGAGGAUGAGGACGAGCUGUAUGAUGUGAACAAGGAGCCUGAUUUGGGUGAGGCAGAAGAUCAGGCUUAGGAUGAGUUGGAGCGUAAGCUUGAUGACUUUGAGAUUUUAGCUGAACAAGCGCCUCCUAUCAAUAAUGCAGUUUCUGAGACGGUUGGUGAGAGCCCUACUUCCCGCACUCAAAGCCAAGGACAAAGUGGAGGAGGGGUGAAGGCACCGGCUAAGAAAAAGGCGAGGGGUCCGACGACAAGUUUGAAGAAACCCGUCGGUCCCAUGGCCUUGGAUUAUAACAAGGCAGGCCAACCUACAGGCAAAUGGCGUCGCCAAUACGCUAUUCACAUUGGGAUUUGUGCGCGCAAAAUCCCCAUUCCUCUUGGUUGGCAGGAAGUGUCUUCGGGCAAGUGUUUUGUUUGCACACAAUUAUGAAUACCUUCACUAUAUUGUUAUUUAAAAGGGGAAACUAAUAAUCUCUUUUAUUUGUGCUUGCAGAGUGUGUUUAACAUUCCUAAUGAUGCCGCCAAGCGAAGGGUGUUUGAAUCUUUACUGGCGGAAAGAUUUAGAGGCUUUAAGACCCUCUUAGUUCGUACGUGGAUCACAAAGACAAGGGUGAGAAGACCAAAGAAAAAAAAAGGAGGUUGCAAUGAUGAUGAAGUCAUCGAGGAAGAGCAACUCCCCUGGCAAAAAUGGCCAAGCGUAUCGAAGGAUGAUUGGAAAGCUUUCGUUCUUCAAAAAAGUAAAAAGGAAGCAAUUGAACUGAGGGAGCAAAAUUCCAAAAAUGCAAUGCAGAGGCAAUACACCCAUCGUAUGGGGCCUAAAACAUUUGGUGAAUGGAGGGAAACGUGGGUGAAGGAGGAUGUAUACCCCACUGCGCUUCUAGGUUACUCCAAAGAAGCCUCUGAUUCCAUGACCAAUACGUUGGUGAGUAGUGCUAGCGAUUUAAUUUGUUCUCUGCAUUCGCGUGACAAGAAAACCGGAAAAUGGGUCAUCAAUGCUCCGGAAACCAAAGAAAUGGCAGAUAAACUCCUUGAGUACACUGAAGAACUGGUUCAAGGUAAGCUGGUCCCAACACUAGAGAAGGACCCUUUCACCUUGGCUUUGGGAAAUCCCUACCAUCUAGGACGGGUAUUAGGUGCGGGAGGGACCUUGCUAGGAUAGGAAAAGGUGAUGGGUCCAGAAUAUACCAAAUCAGGAAGAUCCCGAGCAAGUGUGAACUCACCGGUUGACUUGGAUGCCACGGUGGCAUCAAUUAAGGAACAAGUGCGCAACGUGAUGCGAGAAGAAUUCAAUUCUUGGGCGAAGAAACUGAACUUGCCGGGCUUGCCUUUCCCCGUGACUACAUUGGUCAACUCAUGUAGUCACCCACAAUGAUAAGGAGAAGAUGAGAUACAUGGAGACGAUGAUAAGGUUUGUACUCCUACACAUGCGGACUCGAGGGAGCUUCAUAAUCCAACACCGGUUCACUUUCCAGAGUUACAGGUAAAUGCACUUAUGAAGGAUCAUUUAAAUGGAAAAGCAGGAGGAUCAAGUGAAAAGUCAUCUCAGCCCAGUGCAUCAGUUGAACCAAACUCACGUAACUUUGAUGAUUUAACAGCAAAGGUGUUUGGGCUGUAGAGUUCUUUGCACCUUGGUUACUGUCAACAAAUUGAAGAGGAAUUUCUAUUUUUUGGGAAGAAUGUUUAAAUUUGAGGGAAGUGAAGUCCCUCCGUAGAAUGAGUCACCCCAACAUCAUAAAGCUGAAAGAAGUACGAGAAAAUAAUGAGUUGUUUUUUAUAUUUGAAUAUAUGGGUGCUGCUGUGCUUGUGGCCUGUGUGGGGUUUAGUGCUUGCCUUUUGAAGCUGUUGCUGCUGUUGUUAGGCUGCCUGUUGCAGGGGUGUUGCUAUUUUUCUUUUAGUGUAGCUGCUGCUGGUGCCUAAUGUUUUCUGCAGGAAGAGACCCGUUGUGCACUUCUACACCCGGGGAUAUCAAACAGUGGACCUUUGCAGUUGGUUGCGUAUGCUAGUGCACAACCGACCAGUGGUACGGUCCAUUCGCGACCGCUAAGGCCACAACAUUACUCGGUCGGGAUCAAUUAUGUGGUUGCGGGGUUCGAGUACAUCCCAGUACCGGUGCCCGUAGCGGAGGAUGGGAUGACUACACUCUGGGAAGCGAAAGGUAGCUUUGUGCAAUGGCCAUGUGAUUGGGUAAGGUUGAUCAACGAGAUUUCGAAGAAAAGCCAAACUUCAAAGAGAAGGAGGGUGGAGUAGCCUAAAAGCAUUGAUCAAACGGUCGGAGAGUGAAAAAGCGUCGAAGAAGAACUCUUCAAGAGGUUCAGCUAUGCAAGCAACUCCACUUAUUGCAGACACGGUCCUUCAAUCGCUCUCUGAAGAUUUAACUUAUCUACACAACCGUGUUAGUAUGUUGCCUAGUGACACUCUCGUUCAAGUUGCACUACCUAAGGCAUUGUUCCACUGUGAUGACGAUGCAAUUGCAUGGCUCAGCAAAGAAGAUGUGAAGGAAUUUCUAAGUGGAUCAAUGAUUAACAUUUCCCUCAUUCAAACAUUCAUGAGGUAAUUCAAUGCCGCUCAAAGUAUGUUAUUCAGAUUAGCAGUGAUUGUCGUUUAUUUUUCCAUUAAUAUUCUAUUAUCAUGCAUGCAAAGCACUACAGGAGCACUUAUGUGACAUUGAUUCGUGGUUAUGCCCCGAGCAGAACUCCACACCUAGAAUCUUAGGCAACCACCUUGACAUGUUGUACUAUGUUGAACGGAGUAUCAAGGAAUCAGUGCGUGCGGGAGAUAAGUUCAUAUUGGCCCCAUGUUAUGAGGAUUUGCAUUGGGCCUUGCUAGUGAUUUGUGUUUCCAAUAACACAAUCUUCCUUUUUGAUUCAGCUCGAUUCCCUCAUCCAAAAAAGCUUCUUGUGAAGUCCAUACUGCAAAAUGUUAUGAAGAAGAAAAAUUGUCGAGCUCCUCAAGGUCCC